UACACAUGCACUUAAAUAUAAAAUAAAUAACAUUUUUACGUUUGCGCAAAUGACCUUCGUGAGCGAGAUUAGAAAUAAAUUGGAGAGCAUUCGUACGUGAAAGAGAUGCGAUGAGCGCACAUUCAAAGUGAGAAGAUUUUUCCGUUUAGAUCGCGCAGAUAGCAUGGUGGGGGCGUUCUAGUGCACUUCUAACGUUUUCUUUUCCGUUCGUACGUGUAUGUGAGACAUCUGUGAUAGCGCAGACGAGACGAGACGAAUUGACGUUGCGCAAGGUCAUUGCGUUAAAUGCAAAAUGCAAAUUGGCGUUGUCUAGAGACAACAAAUGAAGAUAAAACUAUUUUGUGAAGAAUUUUAUGUUCCAGGUGUUAAAAUAUUUUCUAUUGGACAUUAUAAGCUGCGACGGAUAGAGUAGCUACUCGGGUUACACAGAGUGCAAUGUACAUGUUUAUCAAAUGAAGUUUACAUAAUGCAAUUAUAAUAAAUAUAAUUGUGUAUCAGUAAAAGUGUAUAGUUAAUUGCAUUUUGCAAUGUAAAAAAUAUAUAUAAUUUUAUUAUGACACAACUAAGUAAUUACGAAUAUCUUUAAAUGAAUGCCUAGUAAAAUUUCUAUUAAUAACGUAUUUAUCGUGUUUAUAUUGGAUAAUGAAGUUAUGUGAAAUUUCAUAUACACUAAUUUAUUAGUAAUUAUACAAUUAAGUCAAGCUAAAGUUGAUUCUAGAAAUAACUCAGUAUUACCUAAAGAAAUUAUUCUCUUUAUACAAUAAUAAUCACUUCAAGGUAUGGACCGAUUUCAUCCAUUUCUGGUACUGAACGCCAAUAUGCUACGGAAACACCCCCAUUUAAAUUCAAAUUGAUCCUUCAUCCUCAGUUUAUAUAUAAAAUAGAAAGGAUCGAAGUAAGUAUUUUGGUCGACAGCGGGCUUUACUAGCCCAUAUUCGUUUUGGUAAAGCAAAUUACAUAGGUAUGGUAAAAACAAUGUUUGCUCACGAAUGCUCAAAAGUCUGCUAAGCAAUUUCCGAUAUUUAAUUGUUUUCUUUCAGCCAAAAAAUCUAUUCCCAAAUAAUUCGGAGGAAAUAGUUGAGAAUUCUUGGCUGGAUAUAAUUCCGGGUCUGUUGUGGUUAUUAUGCGGAUAUUUAUUUAUUCUGUAUAUGAGGUUAGGAGAGGAUACGGAUCGAAAGUCAAUGCAUUACUUGAUCCUAAUAUUUUUUAUAAAGAAAAUCUCUAUUAUUUUAUGUUUCGAAUAGUUUAGUUUAAUUUAGAUUUUCCAGCUUUUAUCACUAAAAAUUAGUAAUUUUUUGUUUUUGGAAUGUUCAAAAUUUAGUUUCAGUAGUGAAGGCGUUGUGGUCAAUUUGAUAUAAAAUCACUAAACAUUCUUUCAAGCAAUUCCAAAUACUUAUAUCACCUUUACGCUGCGCCACGCCGCUGUCAAAUUCAUGCGUGCUUACUUCUAUACGUUUAACUACCGACAUGUAAUUGUCUCCCAGACUGCUGCCUGCCGAACAGCGCCAAUAUUUCACCUCGAAGGGUAUCACUUUUCUUAAAGCCACAUAAUUGCACAAAGUUUCCACAUCCUCGCCGUAUUCAUUGACUUCGUCCAUUGUCACACACGCGUUUGCACAUAAAAUCCACCGGAAGUUCAACAAAAGGAGUAGGUACUUUAUUCGAAAUCAGUUUUACGUAGCUACCGUUACAACAGACGUACGAAACGUUCUUUGGCUUUCCACCGAAUGUCAGCGUAGAAAUCGAAGUGUUCCACAGCUUUCACUGCCGUUAAAAAGGUGAUAAGACGUCGAUUUCCGCAAAGCGCAGCGGAAUGCACGAACACACGCACACGCAUGCACAUAUGGGCGCACUCAUGCGAACUGCUGCAGUUGUAAAAUUCUAGCUGAGCUCAUAGUUUUCAUG